AGAAGAGCCACCGCUGCUGGCCACGCGCAGCGCUAGCAGAGGGGAGCGAGGAGGAGACGCCUCCCUAGCAUUUACUAGGAUGAGUUGGGUUAAUGCAGUGGGCAGGGCAGGCGGCCUGCAUUCCUCGCCCUCCUAGCGCCCUGUGUGUUUUAUUCGGAGACACGUUUAGGCGCAAGUGAUGCCCCGCAGCUUGUGCCAGUUGGAAAUAUGCAAACAGGCUGGCAAGUCAGUUCCUUCCCUUCAGGUCCUGCUGCUCACAGGGUACUGGACGUGACGCUCCAGCGCUGAUCUGUCUCUAACCUCCCCCUUUCAGGCUCUCAAGCUGAGGUAGUGGCAAGUGGGACUGUUGACUAAGGUUUCAUGAGCCAUGGGAACAAGGGUAGGUGCAAACUGUGCGGUGCUGCCAGCUGGGAGAGAAGCCUGAGGCAGAAGCCUUCAGCUCACAAUAUUCCAGGCAAGACAAUCUCCAUGAGAGAAAAGUUAAAGACGAGAAUGACCUGGAGUCACUCCCACUUAUGUCCAGGCGCCACUCACUGAGGUCAGCCAGGAGCAUGCAUGUCUGCCCAGGCACCCCGACCGAGCUCACUGAGGUCAGCCAGGAGCACCUAGGAGACGACGACAAGCAGUUGUAUUGCAUUGUCUGCUACCGCAAAGGCAAGGAGCUGCUGCUGUGUGGCAAUGUAGUACCACAUCUGUUAGCAGCACCCAGGAGACAAAACGGUGAUGGUGACCUGAGUGGGCUCCAUGCUUGCUGUGAUAUGUCAUCCGCACAGGUGCCUUUGCAGGUGAAUUACUCGGGUAGAUUGAGGACCAAGGCAUCUUUUUUUUCCCUGUGGCAGUUUACAGGGACAGUUCUGAGAAACAUGAACAGUAUUUCCAAGCAGCUGACUCAUCUACAGAGAUCUCAGACCCAGCUGGGAAGGAAUAAAUGAAUGACCAGACUUGGUUCAGAACUUGGAUGUACUACUACUAGAGGGAAGUAUUAGUCUUGUAAUAAAAGCAUAAGACUAAAAAUCUGGUUCUCUGUCUGGAUCUGCCAUGGACUUCCUGUGUAGCUUUGGGCAAACCACCUCUGUAUCUCAGUUUUCAGAUCUAGAAACUUGUGAUAGCCAUAUUAAGGAUUAAAUGUACAGCAUUUUAAAGCACUAAUUAAGGAUUAAUUACACUCUACUGUUCCUGUUAAAUACACUGCACCUCACAGUGCUCUAAGUAGCAGUACAAGUAAUUUGACCCAGUAGGGAAACUUAUGAACAUGGCAAGAUAGUUGGGACAGUGAAAAAAAGACACCCUCAGUUAUGAUCAUGACAGAUUUUAAAACACAAAUUCAGCAUUUACUAAGAGUUUCUGCUAAAUUUUUGGCUUAGAAGUUUACAGUAACUUUGUAUUAAGUAGUAAUAAGAAGGGAAAGAAAUGACAAUACAGAGGCAGCCAUUUCCCCCAAUAUUCCAUGUGCAUAUGAAAGCAACUCAGUGGUUUCAAGACAAGAAAUAUUUUCCAUCACUGUACUGUAAAAGUUAAUUGCUAAUUAUAUUUGUGCAAAAUGGCCAAGUCAUUGUUGAUACUGGGAACCAUAAGUGAAUUUCUUGGGUUUUGGAUGGAAAGUAAACCAAAAUUUUAACACUAGUUUUUGCUUAAAUAUUUUUGUAUUACUGUAUUUAAGCACACACAUUUAUAAGUGUGGAUCACAUGUAAUUUCAAACACUGAAUUGUGCUCCAAGUACACACCACCCUAUAGAACAUGAAAAGCUUGAAUUUUGCAACAAAAAAAGACUAACUCAACUGAGACCCCUUUUUCAGAUAUUUAAAAAGGUUUGAGAGAAAAGACAUCUGAAGGGAGAAUGAAGACCGCUGAGAGGAUCAAUGGCACAGCACUUGUGUGCUAACACAGUUCCAUACACUGGGUACAGUUAAGAACAUUUCAGAAAUAUAGCAGCUAAUGUAAAAAUUGUUAGAGACCUGAUAAUUUUAGAAGUUAGAAUUUAAUGUAUUACAGCUGCCUUCUUGCAAGACACCUUACAUAACAGGCUCUGUGUCCACUCUUCUCUCCGUCACUUGUUAGAGUUUGCAUUCCAUGUCAUAGCUGCUGCCCCUUCCUGGUCCAAGUUGAAAUAAAUUCUACUAGUUCAAGAUGAAUGCCAGUUGACUUCACCCCCCGGAUUCUAGCGGGUGCUUUUUUCUCUCCUACUUUCAUAAAGUGUAAUAAUCUAAUGGGGAGUUUAAGACUUGAUUCUGAAGAUUAAAUAAUUAAAAUAGAUUAUUCAUUAGAAAAAUACAUUGCAGUCUUCUGGUAACCAGUGAAAGAGGCACAAUAGAAGAGGCUGAAUUGAUCUGCUAACAUUUCAAAUAGUUUGUUUAAACUAAGAAUGAGAAAUUACAGACCAAAAUGUAAUUCCAGCAAUAUUUAAGCCCUAGCAAAAAGACAUUUAGACAUCAGAGAGCCUUCUCAAAGUACAUUAACUUUACACUUAAAACAUCAACACCCAAGAAUGCAUUAUUAAAUAAAUCUUCCCUCAUGGGAGGAGACUUGAGGACUACUCUGUGACAGGAAGGAUUGAAAGGGUCUAAAAAGAGGGAUAAGGAAAAGAGAAAAUGUAAGCCUGUGUUAAGAUUAAAAGUGGAAGUUAAAUGCCUUUCCUAAAACAGCCACUCAUAGCAGACAUUAGAGUACUAGAAUUAGUUAUUAUUGGAGCAGAAUACCAGAUAAAGUCAUAAUAGUUCCAGUGCUACUCAUAUUUAGGUGGUGUCUCAAACGCAAGUAUGACCAUCAAAAAUACAUACAAAGAGACAUCUGGACAGUAACAAAAUAUAACUAAACAAAAUUCAUUAUACCUAUUACAAAUAUAAAAUUAAAAACAAGUCACAGCUUAUAAGUAACAAGUAAGUCAAAUGUUAAUAUUUAUAUUAAAAAGGCAUUAAAUUAUUAAGAAAGUAAACACGGGCUAAAGUGACCAGAGCGAACAGGCAAGGAAUAAAGCCAUCAUACAAAAACAGGUACAGAAAACACUGAAGACAAGCCUGAAUAUCACGGAUAUAUUUAAAAACACCACAUUUUCAUUCUCAUUAAUUUGCCAGUACAUUCCAUACCUUUCAGGUACAUUCCUGUUUUGUCUUUAGGACCUAAGCUCUUGAGGGUAAAACUUAAGAUUAUGCAGUGUCUAGCAAUGUGGUUCUGGUCAGGACUGGUGGAUGCUACCACAGUAUAAUUGUUACAUAUAAAAAGAAAACCCCCACUUUAAAAGAACAUGCACGUUGUAAGUUAAGUACUCAAAAGUCUGGAAGUUUCAGACCUCAGGUGCAACUUUAAUUCAGCUACCUUGUACAUGUGCAUGAAUUAUGUUAGUCUAAUUAUGAUCAAAGUAUUUAAUUGACAGGACCCCUGCCUGAAUCAGUGCACAGGAUUGUGUAGUUGAGGACCUGUCUCAUUUGUUAUAGAAGUUAGAAUGGGUACAGAGAAUAAGGCAGGGAUUACAGAAAGAGAGAGAGAAAGGACUCAUGGUUAAGGCAGUUGAAUGUCACUCCAGAGAGCUGCAUUCUAUUCUCACUUUUCACACAGUUCCUGAUGCUGGGGAAAUUACUUAAACCAAACUUCAUAGGUGACCACUACCUGUUUUCUUCAUUUUCUGAAUGCCUAACUCAAGACACCUUAAGCUCACUGCAACUGAAGUCAGCUGUAGUUGUGCUCUCAACAUAUCAAGUACUACAAAAAGGCUAAGUAAUUUUGUUUUAAAUGGCCAUAUGCAUCUCAAAUUAGGCAUGCAAUAUGAAUGUAUGCUUUCAGCCUUAAUCUCUUUGCUUCAACUCAUUCUCCAUAAAAUUGGGUUAUCCCUGUCUCAAGAGUGUUGGGAAGACAACUUCAUUAAUGUUUGAAGCACUCAGAUGCUACGGUAGACACCUCAGAAAGACUAGGCAGAAAUUAAUUAAUCUUUAUUCAGUGCAGUUUGGACAAUGUGAAGUAAAUAAGAACUAGGACCACAUUUCUUUUUAUCCUUAUCUUUCAGUAUAUCGAACAGCUACCCAUUUAGUGAGUAGCGUUCAUCCUGUACAUCUAAAUUCUGGCAUUUCUCCA